GGGGAUUUAGCUCAGUGGUAGAGCGCUUGCCUAGCAAGCACAAGGCUCUGGGUUCAGUCCUCA
rnacentral:tRNA from 1 species